rfam:Roseofilum reptotaenium AO1-A Rreptotaenium_AO1_contig_118_len_8770_cov_401.985, whole genome shotgun sequence.
GGGCACGUAGCUCAGUGGAUAGAGCACCAGAUUCCGGUUCUGGGUGUCGGGGGUUCAAAUCCCUCCGUGCUCG